rnacentral:rRNA from 1 species
UACGGAGGGAGCUAGCGUUGUUCGGAAUUACUGGGCGUAAAGCGCACGUAGGCGGCUUUGCAAGUUAGAGGUGAAAGCCCGGGGCUCAACUCCGGAAUUGCCUUUAAAACUGCAUCGCUAGAAUUGUGGAGAGGUAAGUGGAAUUCCGAGUGUAGAGGUGAAAUUCGUAGAUAUUCGGAAGAACACCAGUGGCGAAGGCGACUUACUGGACACAUAUUGACGCUGAGGUGCGAAAGCGUGGGGAGCAAACAGA